GGCGGUUCCGCUCUCCACUGCGACGGGCUAUACUACGGUCGUCAUGCAGUUCUGACUUUGACCGAGCCAUCCUCAAAGGAGCAUUCAGUCAGCAGAGACGCUGCUCCUGCUAGAGGGGUUCUGACGACUUGGACGAGAGCUGUACACAGACAAUCCCAAACUCCGAGGAGACAGGAAGCGAAUUUCACGCGAGGUUUCGGGACUGUCGCGAGAAUCAGAACGGCGAGCUAGACGUCCAAAAGGAAAAUCCCGCGGCUUUUAAGCCAGGAAAGAACGAGGGCAGGCAGAUACUGAUGAUAGUGCUAGGCAAUCCCUUGGUUGAAGGACAAAUUUGAAGUGUUGCCAGGGGGGCGGAAGUGAACCGAGGAUUGCAGAAUGUUCUGGAAAAGGCGUGAGGAGGGCUUGCCUAUUGGAAGAAUGGAGGCACUUUAGGGGAGGUCUCUAGCUAUGACUGACAGCGCGCCUGGGUGGGCGGUGAUCGUCACCAGAGAUGAAAACCAAGGUCCUGAUUCCUGGAAACGUCUGCCCAAUGUCAGCCCUGCCUAGAGACCAAUGAAGCUAAGACGAUCUUGGAGCUGCCCAGGUCUACGACAUGACGCUCGCCAACCACCUCACUCUCCCGAUAUUGUCAACCUGCAACUGGAAUCAGACCUGCAUGCAUUUUUAAGUUUCCUCAGAAGAUUGAAAUAUUCUAUUCUGCAGGAAGCUUUGUGAAAAAGAAGAUAAACAACUCAAAAUAGCUUCAGGAAGUCCCUGAACUUUACAAGAUUCACUAGACCCCUCCCUGCCAGAGUAAGCAAUAAAAGCUAAGAGUCUGCCUCACAGGAGAAAAAUUACAAAGAAGACUCUGAAACCAGAACAGCUGCCUAAAGAAGCAGAAACCAGCCGAGCUGCCUAAAAGAGGUUUCUAGGUACCUGAAAAAGGCACUCUCCAGGUUGAGCUGUCUGCAGGUUGUGUGCAGUGAGCUCCAGCUUAUAAGCUGUCACCAUGCUGGGGUGGACUUUGACAAUGCAACUGUCUCUGAAUCAUUUCCGUUCCCAUAAAUAACCCCUCAUCUGUAUUCAUUAAGUAACCUUAAUAAAACUCAUGGUUCACC
rnacentral:lncRNA from 1 species